rnacentral:tRNA from 1 species
UGCGGGGUGGAGCAGUCCGGUAGCUCGUCGGGCUCAUAACCCGAAGGUCGUCAGUUCAAAUCUGGCCCCCGCAU